AUCAUUUUGAAUGGGGGAAAGUCCCACAAAAGUUGUUGUGCCUAGGCUGACUGCAUAUAACAGGGAAACUGAAUUAUUUUCUCCACGGAUGGUGGGAAUCAGGCCACAAGCACAAGUAGUGGACAUGAGUUUGGAUAAUGGCGUGGAUCCCUUCACUAGGCCCCCUGAAAACUUCUGUUGUGAAUGAUAUUUCUAUAUUUGCUUUACCAUAAAAUGUAUAAUCUGUUCACAAAUUGUCUGUUGUACUUACAGAUGGCUCUCCUCUACAAUGAAAAUUCAAACGAACAACCGGCCCUAUGACUACCUGCAGGAGGUGUACCUUUCUUCAAAAUUGCCAAGACCAAGAAGGGAUAGUGCAUCAACCAUCAAAAGAUUAAGCCAACCUUUUGGUUAUGUUCAUGUUCGUGGAACUCAUUCUGGACAAGGUCUUUGGGAACCCUGCAAAGCAGACUGAGGCAAUGUUGGCGUUGGUGCAGUUCACAGACGAGCCAGCCAGAUAAAGAGGUCACAGCAAGCCUUGUGUUGAGGUUCAUGCGUACUGCAGUCUGAAUCCCCGGUGUAGUGUCCUUCGUCAUCAAGGAACUCAGCAUGGAUAUGCACGACAACACGGGAAUCACUGUUGGACUUGAAGCAGCUGGAAAAAAAGAAAAGACAGUUGCAGAGAUUGUUAUUGCCGUCAUUCUUUCACUACAAUAUUUGUCUUCAAUAAAUAUGUUCCUAUGGAAUACUCUUGAUGCUGUUGUAAAUAAAUGUUCACACUGCCUUUA